GACGAACGCUGGCGGCGUGCUUAACACAUGCAAGUCGAGCGGUAAGGCCCUUUCGGGGGUACACGAGCGGCGAACGGGUGAGUAACACGUGAGCAAUCUGCCCCUGUUUCUGGGAUAACCACUGGAAACGGUUGCUAAUCCCGGUUAUGACCUCCUUCUGCAUGGUUGGUGGUGGAAAAUUCCGGCGGACAGGCGUGAGCUCGCGGCCUGUCAGCUUGUUGGUGGGGUAAUGGCCUACCAACGCGACGACGGGUAGCCGGCGUGAGAGGGUGACCGGCCACAAUGGGACUGAGAAACGGCCCAGAGUCCUACGGGAGGCAGCAGCGGAGAAUAUUGGACAAUGGGCGAAAGUCUGAUACAGCAACGCAGCGUGAGGGAUGACGGCCUGCGGGUGGGAAACCUCUUUCAGCAGGGACGAAGCGAAAGUGACGGUACCUGAAGAAGAAGGACCGGCUAACUACGUG
rnacentral:rRNA from 1 species